CCAAGUGUUGGUGACAGACUGACAGCCAAGAUCUGCCAGGUAGUGAUAGAGUCUUUCAGGAAGAUCGGUUUUUCCUUGUCUGUAAAUGUU